ensembl:lncRNA
GGGUGGUGGGUGUGUUCUGCGUGCCUCCAGGGCUCGCACUUAGCUCAGAAUGCGGAGCUCGUCCGCUUCCACGUCAGCUGUGGGAGCCGCUUGGAGAAAGAAAAUGCACUGCUGUCCUGGAUAGGCGCACAGGAGGAGGCUGGAUAUGGCCUUUGCUACGGGGUUUCGUCGCUUCUACGUAGUAGAUCUGGGGAGUUGCCUGUUCCUUGGGCCAAAGCGGAAGCUCCAUCAGAGCCUGAACCUCCAGAAUUUGUGAUGGAAUAGCAACACAGAAGGAUGUAGUCAACAUCUUUCACACAAGCUAUUUUUAACCUGGAUGUGGUCUGUGAUUUGUUUCACACGCAGCUCUGAAAUGGCACAGCUGAGGGAAUGACAGAAGCAUAGAUCAUUGUAGUUGGAGAAGACCUUCAAGAUCAUCACGUCCAAGUGCCGACCCAUCCCCACCAUGCUCACUGACCAUGUCCUGUGCCACGUUCACAUGGUUCUUGUACACCUCCAGGGAUGGUGAGUCCACCACCACCACGGGCAGCUGUGCCACUGCCUCAUCACUCUUUCUGAGAAGAAGUUGUUUCUAACGUGUAAAGGUUUUCUCCACAAGUAGUGCUCUGGUGUAAGUCAGAGAGGAGGAAGGCUCUCUGGUGGUAGUCUGGUUCUAGGAAUUUGCCUCAGACAGCUGUGAGUGGCUUAGCAAAAGGUAGGGGAGGAGGGGGGGAAGCAGAAGCCCCAACCUCUGAAUAAGGGAAAAAUGCUGCAAGAGAGAAGAGACCGAGUGAAUGAAGCUUCACACCCAAUCUCCCCCCGAGAGUGGAAAACUUUCUGAGGGAGUUGGCACCUAUCUACCACCAAUGUGCUUAAGAGAAGCCAAGUUGCACGAGGAAGUGUCACCUGCAGUGCUGGUGUGUGAGACUUGGCUGCAAGGCCUGCAAGUUUUGCUCAUUUCUGUCCCAUAAGUGGUCACCCAAUACGUACGGUAUCUUUUCUUUCCUCUCACUGCGAGCGAUUUUGUCCUCUUUGAUAAACCAUCAUUCAGCCGUAGCGAGGAACUGUAAUCCUAAUGACCCGUGUUAAUUAAAAAUCUAAUGGCUCUUUCUCGGGAGAAAGUUUGUUAGUUCCAGUGUUUUUCUAAGCUAAUUAUAUCCAGCCAGGCUGUCACCCUCUCCUGUAGUUUCACUACUGCUCACUUUCUCUGAACUCCUGCAUGCUGCUGCACUGCAUCAUUUUGUUGUGUUCCACUCCAUCAUUUCAAAAUUGGUUGCAUAUUUGUUUCAAAGCAUGGCAAAAGCUUUAGAGGCUGUAGGAGAGAGAUGCUGUAUCUGUGCUGUGAUGACGGACAGUCUGUGACCUCGAAUUCGCUGCCUUGUAGCACCACACUGUAAUGGAGAAACUGUGACUCUUCAUCUCCCCUGUGUUCUAAAAUAGCAAGAGAUAAACAGGAAAAUGGGGAGACACGUUCUGCUUCAUAUUGUUUGGUUCUCCAGUCAGCUCAGCCUCUGAUAUUAAUAACUUCCUGUUUUGUUUGAAGCCUUCUGACAAGUGAGGAGCCUUCAUUUCAGUCUGAACUCCGGCACCCGAAUGGCCAACGUGUUUCCGGACUCUGGGCAACAAAUUCCAGUUUUCUGCUUACCUCUAGGCCAGAAUUUUAGAACUGAAAGUCAAACUGAUGAAAAUUGCAUGCCUGAACCACCUGUGAGUUGCCAAAGUACAAAUGCCCUGGCUUUCACAGCAGGUGGACACCUGCAGCCCCUGUAAGUAGUCAUGGGACUUGAGAGGGCAGCAUCUGCAAAUCUGUCCAACUUGGUACAGGAUCAAACAAGGAUUCUAACCUAAAACUCUGGACUCCUGUUCAUUUCCAAGGAUGUGCUCAGAUAUGAGAAACAGACAAGAGGAUCUGGAAAAACGUGCAUUUACCUAAUAUUGCUUGUGUACAAUGCUAGUGAAAUGUGUGCUCAUCAUUUGCAUCAUUUUUCAGAAGCCUAAACUAUUUCUUUUCCAGGAUUCUGAUGAACUUCUGCUGUGAACUAUUUCCUGUGGAUAACAUGCAGAAGAAGCAGAGUCCCCCAGCAUGCCUGACUGAUGUGUACUGCCCACAGCUGCCACGCCAUGUAACCAGGAACCAACUCCAGACUGUGGUAUGCAGUGGGAUAGCUUGAACGCAGCAGUUCUAGGAGGGUUAAAAAUUAAACCAGCAAUCGAGAUCUAAAGCGGCGCUGGGUUUAAAAGACUGGCAAGGUUCAGCUGUGAGUCAAUUCAUUAGUUGCAGUUAAUAUUGCUAGAAGAGCUUGACAAAAGGAAACACGAAGCAACUGAAAAGAAACAUCCUUAAGGUGAAUGUCAAAGUUUUUGCAUCCAGCAAAGAAACGAAAAGCUGAAUACAGAAGAGAAAGCACUGGUUCCCAUUGAGUGGUUACAGAGGAAACAAUCGUACUACUACAGAGACCUGACUAGAGAAUGAAUCUCAUGACUGGCUUAUCUCCUCCAGGACUGGUUUCCUGCCUUGUAAUAUUUCAAAUCCUUGACUGCUUGCUGCUGCAGAUGGAGUAUUGGUUACCCUCCAUCAUCGGUCUGGCUGCGAAGACUUCCUGUGCUUGACAAGUUGAUUACUUCGUCAAGGUGAAUGUUCAGUCGAGUCUGUCUGGAGGACCUCUGUGUGUCUGAUGCCAGCUGGUUGCUCACCAGACGCACUGUUUCACCAGGCACAGAAUAAUAUGAGGAGAAAAAAUGGGAUUUUGAGGGGCUUUUUUCCCCACUCCCUUUUUGAGGUUGGUGUUGCUCCAGUUUAUCCCAGUAGGAUGUAGGUGGAUAACUCUCUAAAUGCAGCCAUCUUCUAUAUGGAGAGCAAACCUCUCUGAUGAAAUGCCAUUGUCCUUUAUAUGUGGUUUUCCCUGCCUUUAGGAUCCCCAAAAGAGGUUAGAUGGCUUGGAAGCUGUGGCAUUAACAGUGCUUUCAUAUUGUCCAUUGUGUAUCAUCAAGGAAGCGCAGUAAAAUCCAAAUAAAUUAAAUGAAUUUCAUUGCAGUUCCUGAGGGAGAGCAGGAUGCUUUACUUGUGAGUUUCAAGUCAGGUCAGGAGGGUUGGAUCUCCACAGAGAAACUGCUGACACAGGCCCAGAAAUGUCAUUAGUAAGGUAAAGAAAAACAUCCAAACUUCUCUUAAUAGUCCUUUGUGAAUACUUUAUAGGAAGUGGCAUCCAGACAACAAUAGGUAUUAAGAAAUUGGGAAAUAACAGUAAACAGCACAAAGUAAACAGCACAGAGAAAACUGUGUGUGCUUUCUGAGAAGGUAAGGAAACUGCAUCACAAUGCUGAGUGCUUCAGGAGAGAAAAUUCUCAUAACUUCCAUAGCCAAACAUUGCUUGGGACCAGGGUGUGAAUGACUCCUCUGUGCUACUGCUGAGAGGGUGUUGCAACUUCUUGGCAGGUUACAGAAAAUAGAAUGUUGGCCAGCUUCAUUAUCUGGUGGUACAGGAACAUUUGUUUCUCUAGCCACAUGUGGCUGUGUCUGACCAUCUUGGGUAUCCAAGCAGGGAGUUCAAAGGAAAACCCUGUAGGCUUGGUUUUCAAAGGGACUUAUUUCCAGUAAGUGUGAACCUUGUUUCUAAAAGGAGAGAAAUCCUUGUUUACUCUUCUAGGAACUCAUAUUUCUGACAUAUUGUAGCAGAAAUAAUAAACAAAAGCAUACUACAGUGGUGAGGUGAAUCCAGGGAGCAUGGCAACUGCUGCCAGACCAGCAUCUGCAGCCAAACCAGCCCCUGGUGCAUCAUGAGCACCUUCCCUGGCAGACGUGGUCCUGGGGUUACUGUCCUCAACAGAUCCCAUAUUAACACCUCAGUGAGGAGAAGAAUCAUAGAAUCACAGAAUAUCCUGAAUUGAAAGGGGCCUACAAGGACCAUCAGCUUAACUCCUGGCUUCACAUAGGAACACACAAAAUUGAAAUCCUAUGUCUGCAACUGUUGUCCAGACACUCCUCAAAUCCAGCAGCUGAGGCCAUGCCCACCGCCCUGAAGAGCCUCUUCCAUGCCCACCACCCUCCGGUAAAGAACCUUUUCCUAAAACUGAGGCUGACCUCCUUCUGGUGCAGCUCCAUGCUGUUAAAGAACGAUGGAGUUUUUCCUGUGUCCCACCAUACCUGACAAGGCAAGGAUGUGUUGCAGUCCCUAUAAAUUGAGCUAUUUCAGACCGACUUUGUGCAAGAGUGGAAGAAGAGUAAUAUGUAGCCACUUUUAUCCCCUUGGAAAGGUAGAGGCAGGAGAGCAGGCUGCCAGACCUCCAGAGAAGCAAGGGUCUCCAUCAGGGCAUUUCCUAGCAGGAGGCAAGAAGAUCAUGCUUUCUCUCCUGUCAUUUAUUCCCUGAUGACUAUUUUCUUUGCUUCCUCCAGGCCCAGGGCCAGGAGGGCCAGCACUGGGAACACGUCCUGGUGCAUAGCCAGGGACGCAGCAGUGUCCUGCUGAGAGCAGUGGCCCGGGGCCGGGCACACAGCAUCCAGCCCUCCCCUGGAGACUGGUGUUUGCUGAGGGAUGCAAGGUAACCUCAGCAUUGAAAAUAGCUGGGACGUUGGCCAGCGAAGAUUAAUGGCAUCAUUAACAUCUCCAGUUUAUUUAUAGGUUUUAAAAAGUCUCCAACCUGUAAACAAAGCAGAGUUAUGCUGCGUAAUGCAGAGAAUCACAGGUUUACCUCCUUCCCACUCCUCUUAUUUCAUCCUUGUUGUUGAGACUGUAAAACCCCUGGGGCAGGACUGGCUCACUGCAAACUUACAUUAUAAACCUUCUCAAUGAGGGGGAUACGCACUGUUGUUUUUUUUUCCCAUGAAUGCCAUGUUUGUCUGGUCUCCUUUCUCCACUCAGCUCUUUCUGUGCUUUGUCCCGUGGCCCCUGUUACGGAAAAUUCUCUUUUUGAAGAAUUCCUGAGGCCCAGGUUGGGAAGUCAUCACAGGAAUUAGUGAUUUUCUGCCUUGGGCCUUAAGCUGCAAGCUUUGUGUGAGGAGGAUUGAGCAUCUUGUAGCUGUGGAGAGCACCUAGGCCGUGCAUGGCCCCAGUGAAGCGUGCAGAUGUUAUUAAUGACCCUGGGGUCUUCGUACAGGCACUCAGGGCCACUCAGUUCCCAGGUUCUCGAGAAACUUGAAGGGCUGUCAAGAAAAGAAAAAGCAUGUUGGCCCCAGAACAGGAGUUCUCAGCACGUGAGCUGCAGCCACACCACCUGGCCCAUCUCCAGGAGCUCAGGAGAAGGUAAGGUAGAAAGAGGGCCUGUUGGCAGCAGGCAGCAGGGAUCUGCUGCAGAGGUGUAUGGGUGGAGGGGGAAAGAAAAAUGUGAGAACAGGCCCCUCUAGGCACACAGUGAUCACAUUAUGAAGAUGUGUUUUGGAGGGCAACCACCGUUCGUUUUGCUGUUUGUGAUGUGUUAAUCUGAGUUGUACUCCCAUGGCUCUCUCUCCUGGGCCUUUUGUCUUCUAGGGGGUAAAAUAAAGAAUUGGCAGAGAAUUUCUCAAA